UACGUAGGGUGCGAGCGUUAAUCGGAAUUACUGGGCGUAAAGCGUGCGCAGGCGGUUAUGCAAGACAGAUGUGAAAUCCCCGGGCUCAACCUGGGAACUGCAUUUGUGACUGCAUGGCUGGAGUGCGGCAGAGGGGGAUGGAAUUCCGCGUGUAGCAGUGAAAUGCGUAGAGAUCAGGAGGAAUACCGAUGGCGAAGGCAGGUCCCUGGGCUGACACUGACGCUCAUGCACGAAAGCGUGGGGAGCAAACAGG
rnacentral:rRNA from 1 species